rnacentral:rRNA from 1 species
GAUGAACGCUGGCGGCGUGCGUUAUACAUGCAAGUCGAGCGAAGAGGGGACGGGUGAGUAACACGUGGAUAACCUCCUAUAAGACUGGGAUAACUUCGGGCAACCGGAGCUCCACCGGUUACUUAUAGAUGGAUCCGCGCUGCAUUCGCUAGUUGGUAAGUUAACGGCUUACCACGGCAACGAUGACUAGCCGACCGGAGAGGGUGAUCGGCCAAACGGGAACUGAGACACGGUCCAGACUCCUACGGGAGGCAGCAGUAGGGAAUCUUCCGCAAUGGGCGAAAGCCUGACGGAGCAACGCCGCGUGAGUGAUGAAGGUCUUCGGAUCGUAAAACUCUGUUAUGAGGGAAGCGGUACCUAAUCAGAAAGCCACGGCUAACUACGUGCCAGCAGCCGCGGUAAUAC